UACGAAGGGUGCAAGCGUUACUCGGAAUUACUGGGCGUAAAGAGCGUGUAGGCGGCUUGUUAAGUCUUGCGUGAAAUCUCGGGGCUCAACCCCGAGCGGUCGUGAGAAACUGGCAGGCUAGAGUGCGGGAGAGGAGAGUGGAAUUCCUGGUGUAGCGGUGAAAUGCGCAGAUAUCAGGAAGAACACCCGUGGCGAAGGCGGCUCUCUGGAACGCAACUGACGCUGAGACGCGAAAGCGUGGGGAGCAAACAGG
rnacentral:rRNA from 1 species